CCCACUUAAAAGUCUAUUUGAUCUCAAUAAGGACUUUGAUCCAGUAUGUGUGUUUUCUGUUAUUCAAUCUCUACUUUCUCAGCAUGCAGAUUUUGAUUCUCUUCAGGUGCAUACAGGCAUCUAGCCAUGGUCUUAAUUGUAAUCAUUUGAAAUACUUUUCUCUUUUUUUCUUUCUCCUCUCUCUCUUCUUCUCUCUCUCUCCUUCCCUCUCUCUCUCUCUCUCUCUCUCUCUGGCAGCUGGCAGUAUUGGAUCUUCUCAGUCCUAAGCAGAUGGCUGAGUUGAUGGUUCUGCCUCUCCCUCAUCCCCAAGGCAAAGAUGAGGUCAUCAACAGAGUGCUGGAUCACCUGCUGGAGUCACCAGUGGAGCGGAACCUUCCAGAAGUUCUUAUUCACGUCAUCGUCCUCUCCAGACAGCUUGAAGUACCUUGUGAGUUCUAUCAAGCAAUAAUCCCGAGGCUAAGAGAAUCGUUGACGUCAGUACCAGGAGAUCUGGAGCCAAUCAUCAGUGGAGCUGUGGCAGGACUACUCGUACUUACUCCAACAGGUCUGUGCCUAACACACAGACACACACACACACACACACACACACACACACUAUUCUUACUUUUUUCCUGUCUU
rnacentral:lncRNA from 1 species